ACUGCCCGCGGACCCGGAAGGAGCUGGCGACCCCGCCUCUGCCCCCCACCCACAGCACUGUGCCGCGUCCACUAUAGGCGCUCAGUACCUGGGGGCAACGAGACAGACCCGCCGUGGUUCAGGCCUCUGGGGACUCGAAUCCCAAGCGGAACCUGGCGAGAGCACGUCCGCUCAGAGAGGACCGCGCGCCUAGCAGUGACCCUCCUCAGGGCUCCUGACUUGGUGCUGACGACUCUCCUGAACUCCAGGCCCCCUUUUGGACAUCUGAGACACAUCUCCACGAGUAUCGAGAACUGUACUUGACCCACUCCAGACCACCACCCUGAUCCUGUUGUAGAUUUCAAAAGACUAGAAGAAAUAGUAAGUAAAUGCAAUGCAAAAUAAAAAUAAGUAUAACAAGACACUUGGAGAACAACUGGGAAAAGUAGAACGGGUCAUGAUCCUAGAUGCUGUUAUGGAAUGAUUGUUCACUUUGGGCCUGAUGCUGGCCUUGAGCCGUGGAGAGUGUUGGUUUUUCUUAGAGAGGCAAGCUGGCAGGUAUUUAGACAUGAGGUGUCAUGAGGAGGCCUGCAGCUAUUAAAUCAGGUGGUUUUUAUAAACGAGAGCGCAAGUAAAGGUGCAAAAGGUGAA